AUUGAACGCUGGCGGCAUGCCUUACACAUGCAAGUCGAACGGCAGCGCGGGAGCAAUCCUGGCGGCGAGUGGCGAACGGGUGAGUAAUACAUCGGAACGUGCCCAAUCGUGGGGGAUAACGCAGCGAAAGCUGUGCUAAUACCGCAUACGAUCUACGGAUGAAAGCAGGGGAUCGCAAGACCUUGCGCGAAUGGAGCGGCCGAUGGCAGAUUAGGUAGUUGGUGAGGUAAAGGCUCACCAAGCCUUCGAUCUGUAGCUGGUCUGAGAGGACGACCAGCCACACUGGGACUGAGACACGGCCCAGACUCCUACGGGAGGCAGCAGUGGGGAAUUUUGGACAAUGGGCGAAAGCCUGAUCCAGCCAUGCCGCGUGCAGGGUGAAGGCCUUCGGGUUGUAAACUGCUUUUGUACGGAACGAAACGGUCUUUUCUAAUAAAGAAGGCUAAUGACGGUACCGUAAGAAUAAGCACCGGCUAACUACGUG
rnacentral:rRNA from 1 species